GGUAGUCCACGCCGUAAACGAUGGGCACUAGGUGCUUGGGGGAGCGACCCCCUGGGUGCCGGCGCUAACGCAUGAAGUGCCCCGCCUGGGGAGUACGGCCGCAAGGCUGAAACUCAAAGGAAUUGACGGGGCCCGCACAAGCGGUGGAGCAUGUGGUUUAAUUCGACGCAACGCGAAGAACCUUACCUAGGCUUGACAUGCACGGGACGGCCUCCAGAAACGGGGGCUUCUCUUCGGAGUCCGUGCACAGGUGCUGCAUGGCUGUCGUCAGCUCGUGUCGUGAGAUGUUGGGUUAAG
rnacentral:rRNA from 1 species